GUACCAGACUCCUACGGGAGGCAGCAGUGGGGGAUAUUGCACAAUGGGGGGAACCCUGAUGCAGCGACGCCGCGUGAGUGAAGAAGUCUUUCGGUCUGUAAAGCUCUAUCAGCAGGGAAGAAAGAGACGAAAGUCUUGUGACAGUACCUGACUAAGAAGCCCCGGCUAACUACGUGCCAGCAGCCGCGGUAAUACGUAGGGGGCGAGCGUUAUCCGGAUUCACUGGGUGUAAAGGGAGCGUAGACGGCCAAGCAAGCCAGGAGUGAAAGCCCGGGGCCCAACCCCGGGACUGCUCUUGGAACUGCGCGGCUGGAGUGCAGGAGGGGCAGGCGGAAUUCCUGGUGUAGCGGUGAAAUGCGUAGAUAUCAGGAGGAACACCGGUGGCGAAGGCGGCCUGCUGGACGGCGACUGACGUUGAGGCCCGAAAGCGUGGGGAGCAAACAGGAUUAGAUACCCCGGUAGCA
rnacentral:rRNA from 1 species